rnacentral:rRNA from 1 species
CCUACGGGCGGCAGCAGUGGGGGAUAUUGCACAAUGGGGGAAACCCUGAUGCAGCGACGCCGCGUGAGUGAAGAAGUAUUUCGGUAUGUAAAGCUCUAUCAGCAGGGAAGAAAAUGACAGUACCUGACCAAGAAGCCCCGGCUAACUACGUGCCAGCAGCCGCGGUAAUACGUAGGGGGCAAGCGUUAUCCGGAUUUACUGGGUGUAAAGGGAGCGUAGACGGUUAUGUAAGUCUGGAGUGAAAGCCCGGGGGCCAACCCCGGGACUGCUUUGGAUACUGGGUAACUGGAGUAAAGGAGGGGCAGGCGGAAUUCCAGGUGUAGCGGUGAAAUGCGUAGAUAUCAGGAAGAACACCGGCGGCGAAGGCAGCCUACUGGACUGAAACUGACGUUGAGGCUCGAAAGCGUGGGGAGCAAACAGGAUUAGAUACCCUAGUAGUC